rnacentral:misc_RNA from 1 species
GAUGAAGAACGUAGCGAAAUGCGAUAAGUAAUGUGAAUUGCAGAAUUCAGUGAAUCAUCGAGUCUUUGAACGCACAUUGCGCCCCCUGGUAUUCCGGGGGGCAUGCCUGUCCGAGCGUCAUUGCCGCCCUCAAGCACGGCUUGUGUGUUGGGCCCCCGCCCCCCGGCUUCGGGGGGCGGGCCCGAAAGGCAGCGGCGGCACCGCGUCCGGUCCUCGAGCGUAUGGGGCUUCGUCACCCGCUCUGUAGGCCCGGCCGGCGCCCGCCGGCGACCCCAAUCAAUCUUUCCAGGUUGACCUCGGAUCAGGUAGGAAUACCCGCUGAACUUAAGCAUAUCAAUAAGCGGAGGA